AACGAACGCUGGCGGCAGGCUUAACACAUGCAAGUCGAGCGCCCCGCAAGGGGAGCGGCAGACGGGUGAGUAACGCGUGGGAAUCUACGCAUCUCUACGGAAUAACGCAUGGAAACGUGUGCUAAUACCGUAUACGUCCUUCGGGAGAAAGAUUUAUCGGAGAAGGAUGAGCCCGCGUUGGAUUAGCUUGUUGGUGGGGUAAAGGCCUACUAAGGCGACGCUCCAUAGCUUGUCUGAGAGGAUGAUCAGCCACAAUGGGACUGAGACACGGCCCAGACGCCUACGGGAGGAAGCGGUGGGGAAUAUUGGACAAUGGGCGCAAGCCUGAUCCAGCCAUGCCGCGUGAGUGAUGGAGGCCCUAGGGUUGUAAAGCUCUUUCACCGGUGAAGAUAAUGACGGUAACCGGAGAAGAAGCCCCGGCUAACUUCGUGCCAGCCGCCGCCGCAGUAA
rnacentral:rRNA from 1 species